UAAAAUUAUGAAAGCAUUAAAUGGAUACCUAAACAUUAAAAUUAAAAAUGGACGUAUUUAUACGAAAUUCUGUGACGAGUAAGAAAAAAUCUGCUGAGAUUUACAGAGAUCCAUUUGUCGAAAACGAACUUUUUAUUGAUUAAAGGUUUUUUACUUUUUGAGAAUAAAAGUAAAAUUUUAAAUUUAGAGAAUUGAAUCAUCUUAGUAACUAAAGAAAAAAUCAACCGAGAAUCCGUAAGUAGUGGCGAGCGAACAUGGAAAAGACUAAAAAUUUUUUAUACAUUUUUGUUUAAUAAAAAUUUAGCCAAAGAAGGGAAGUUUAUAAUUCAAAAUUAGCCCUGUAAAACAAAAUUUAAAAUUUUUGAAAUUGUAGAACGAUCCAAGUCAUGGUUUGUUUGAAUUGUGGGGGACCAUCCUCAAAGUCUUAAAAUUUUGAUGCUUGAUAGCGAAAACAGUACCGUGAGGGAAAGGUAAAAAAGAAUUUGGGAAUUCGAAAAGUCUUGAAAUUUAAUGCUAACAAUCAGUUGAAGCUUUUUAAAGUGACAGCGUACCUUUUGCAUAAGGGAUCAACAAGUUUAUUUUGGUGGCGAGCUUAAAAAUAAAUAUUAUGUAGGCGAAAAGAAAUUAAGUUUAAAAAUGCUUUUUAGUCUCUAAAAUAAGACCCGAAACCGAGUGAUCUAACCAUGAACAGGUUGAAAUUUAAGCGGUAACGCUUAUUGGAGGACCGAACUCGUGUAUGUGGCAAAAUACUGAGAUGAUUUGUGGUUAGGGGUGAAAGGCCAAUCAAACUCGGAGAUAGCUGGUUUUCUGCGAAAUCUAUUUAAGUAGAGCGUUUAAAGCACUUUAUUUUAAGGUAGAGCUCUCAUUAAAUAAUGGGGAUAAAACAAUCUUACUGAAUUUAUUGAAACUUCGAAUAUAGAAUAAAAGACUUUAAGCAGACAGACUAUGAGUUCUAAGAUUCAUGGUCAAGAGGGAAACAGCCCAGAUUAUUAGUUAAGGUCCUUAAAAACAAUUAAGUGAAAAAAUUUUAAAAAAAUUAAAACAACCGAUAGGUAGGCUUGGAGGCAGCCAUUCUUUAAAGAAAGCGUAAUAGCUCAUUGGUUUAAUUUUUUUGAGAUGUAAAUGUAAAAGGACUAAAAUUGUUUACCGAAACUAUAGAUUUAAAUUUAAUAUUUAAAAUGGUAGCAGAACGUUCUGUAAAUUUUAGAAAGUUUAUGAAAACAUAAACUGGAGAAAUCAGAAGUGAAAAUGUUGAUAUGAGUAACAAAAACGUUGUGAAAAACAAUGUCGCCUUAAAUUUAAGGUUUUCAAAGAAAGGUUAAUCCUCUUUGAUAAAAUUAAUCGGUCUCUAAGAAAAUAAACGAAAGUUUUAUUUGAUGAGUAAAAUUAAAUUUUUUUUAAUGUUUAAAGUGACAAAAUAUGAAUAUUAUUUUUAUUUAAUGGUUACAAUAAAAGUUUUAUAGUAUUUUCAGGAAAUAGCUUUAAAAAUUUUUAUAAUACCGUACCCUAAACCGACACAGGUAAAUACGUAUAGUAAACUAAGGCGUUGAGAUAAUUGUAUUGAAGGAACUCGGCAAAAUGACUCCGUAACUUCGGAAUAAGGAGUAGCUUUAUUGGGGCAACCUUUUAAAGCUGGCACAAAAUCGGAGACAGCGACUGUUUAAUAAAAAAACUCACAGGUCUCUGCAAAUUCGUAAGAAGAAGUAUAGAGACUGACGCCUGCCCAGUGCUGUAAGAUUAAUGGAAAAAGUUCUGGCUUUAACCUUAAAUCCCAGUAAACGGCGGCUGUAACUCUGACGGUUCCAAAGGUAGCGAAAUUCCUUGGCAUUUAAUUGGUGUCCUGCACGAAUGGCGUAACGACUGUCUUACUGUCUCCAAUACAAUCUCAGUGAAAUUGAAUUCUCCGUGAAGAUGCGGAGUACCUACGGCUAGACGGAAAGACCCCGUGCACCUUUUACUAUAGUUAUGUAUUGUAAUAAAAAUUUUUUUGUGUAGAAUAAGUGGGAAGUUAUUUAAAAUGUUUACGCAAGUAAAUUAUUUAAACAACAAUGAAAUACCACUCUUAAGAUUUUUUAUUACUUAACUGAUUAAGACAGUGCAUAAUGGGUAGUUUGACUGGGGCGGUCACCUCCUAAAGAGUAACGGAGGUGCACUAUGGUAAGUUCAAAUUGGAAAAAUAUCAAUUUAAGAGCGUAAUAGUAUAUGCUUGCUUGACUGUAAGAUUUACAAAUCAAAUAGGGACGAAAGUCGGUUAUAGUGAUCCGGUGAUUCUGUGUGGAAAAGGUCACCGCUCAACGAAUAAAAGGUACGCCGGGGAUUAACAGGCUAAUCACUCCCUAGAGACCCUAUCGACGGAGUGGUUUGGCACCUCGAUGUUGGAUUAUCGCAUCCUGGAGCUGUAAGUGGUUCCAAGGGUUUGGCUGUUCGCCAAGGAAGGCGGUACAUGAUCUGAGUUUAGAACGUCGUGAGACAGUUUGGAUCCUAUCUACCGUAGGCAAGAAAUUUGAGAGGAGUAGACCCUAGUACGAGAGGACCGGGAAAAAUAAAUCUCUGGUGAAUCGGUUGUUUUACCAAUGGCAUAGCCGAGUAGCUAUAUUUAUAAUAGAUAAUCGCUGAAAGCAUUUAAGUGAGAAACUAGCCUCGAGAUUAGAUUUUUAUAAUUGUAAUAGAUGAUUACAUAGAUAGGCUUGAUGUAUAAGAAUUGUAAGAUUUUUAGCUGACAAGUACUAAAAAAUUUUAGAAAUAAAUUAACAACUUUAUA
rnacentral:rRNA from 1 species